AUUGAACGCUGGCGGCAGGCCUAACACAUGCAAGUCGAGCGAGCGGCGGACGGGUGAGUAAUGCCGGGGACUUGCCACGUCGAGGGGGAACACAGUUGAAAACGACUGCUAAAACCACAUAGGAUUGGAUGGCACAGGUGGGAUUAGCUAGUUGGGGGGGUAAUGGCUCACCAAGGCGACGAUCCCUAGCUGGUCUGAGAGGAUGAUCAGCCACACUGGAACUGAGAAACGGUCCAGACUCCUACGGUAGGCAGCAGUGGGGAAUAUUGCACAAUGGGGGAAACCCUGAUGCAGCCAUGCCGCGUGUGUGAAGAAGGCCUUCGGGUUGUAAAGCACUUUCAUCGAGGAGGCGUUACUCGCAGAAGAAGCACCGACUAACUCCGUGCCAGCAGCCGCGGUAAUAC
rnacentral:rRNA from 1 species